GAUGAACGCUGGCGGCGUGCUUAACACAUGCAAGUCGAACGAGAAGUGAAGACGGAAACCUUCGGGCGGAAGGCUUUAUUUCGAGUGGCGGACGGGUGAGUAACGCGUGGGUAACCUGCCUCAUACAGGGGGAUAACAGUUGGAAACGACUGUUAAUACCGCAUAAGACCACAGCACCGCAUGGUGCGGGGGUAAAAACUCCGGUGGUAUGAGAUGGACCCGCGUUCGAUUAGCCAGUUGGCGGGGUAACGGCCCACCAAAGCGACGAUCGAUAGCCGAUCUGAGAGGAUGACCGGCCACAUUGGGACUGAGACACGGCUCAAACUCCUACGGGAGGCAGCAGUGGGGAAUAUUGCACAAUGGGGGAAACCCUGAUGCAGCGACGCCGCGUGAGUGAAGAAGUAUUUCGGUAUGUAAAGCUCUAUCAGCAGGGAAGAAAAUGACGGUACCUGAGUAAGAAGCCCCGGCUAACUACGUG
rnacentral:rRNA from 1 species